UACAGAGACUGCAAGCGUUAUUCGGAUUCACUGGGCGUAAAGCGUCCGCAGGUGGCUGUGUAAGUCUGCUGUUAAAGAGUGAGGCUCAACCUCAUAAAAGCAGUGGAAACUACACAGCUAGAGUGCGUUCGGGGCAGAGGGAAUUCCUGGUGUAGCGGUGAAAUGCGUAGAGAUCAGGAAGAACACCGGUGGCGAAGGCGCUCUGCUAGGCCGCAACUGACACUGAGGGACGAAAGCUAGGGGAGCGAAUGGG
rnacentral:rRNA from 1 species